rnacentral:rRNA from 1 species
GUGGGGAAUUUUGGACAAUGGGCGCAAGCCUGAUCCAGCAAUGCCGCGUGCAGGAAGAAGGCCUUCGGGUUGUAAACUGCUUUUGUACGGAACGAAACGGUCCGGGUUAAUACCCUGGGCUAAUGACGGUACCGUAAGAAUAAGCACCGGCUAACUACGUGCCAGCAGCCGCGGUAAGACGUAGGGUGCAAGCGUUAAUCGGAAUUACUGGGCGUAAAGCGUGCGCAGGCGGUUUUGUAAGACAGGUGUGAAAUCCCCGGGCUCAACCUGGGAACUGCAUUUGUGACUGCAUGGCUAGAGUGCGUCAGAGGGAGGUGGAAUUCCGCGUGUAGCAGUGAAAUGCGUAGAUAUGCGGAGGAACACCGAUGGCGAAGGCAAUCCCCUGGACCUGUACUGACGCUCAUGCACGAAAGCGUGGGGAGCAAACAGGAUUAGAAACCCUGGUAGUCC